rnacentral:rRNA from 1 species
GCUUGUCUCAAAGAUUAAGCCAUGCAUGUCUAAGUAUAAGCACCCUUAUACUGCGAAACUGCGUACAGCUCAUUAUAUCAGCAAUUAUUUAUUUGAAGGUCACCUAUUACAUGGAUAACCGUGGUAAUUCUAGAGCUAAUACAUGCUAUAUGCCCGGCUUCUGGCAGGGCUGUAUUUAUUAGAUACUAAACCAGUGUCGCAAGACAUUGUGGUGAAUCACAGUAACUGAUCGAAUCGGCGCGCAAGCGGCGAUAAAUCAUUCAAGUUUCUGCCCUAUCAGCUUUCGAUGGUAGUGUAUUGGACUACCAUGGCAGUCACGGGUAACGGAGAAUUAGGGUUCGGUUCCGGAGAGGGAGCCUGAGAAACGGCUACCACAUCUAAGGAAGGCAGCAGG